AGAUUGAACGCUGGCGGCAUGCCUUACACAUGCAAGUCGAACGGCAGCACGGGAGCAAUCCUGGUGGCGAGUGGCGAACGGGUGAGUAAUACAUCGGAACGUGCCCAAUCGUGGGGGAUAACGCAGCGAAAGCUGUGCUAAUACCGCAUAAGAUCUACGGAUGAAAGCAGGGGAUCGCAAGACCUUGCGCGAAUGGAGCGGCCGAUGGCAGAUUAGGUAGUUGGUGAGGUAAAGGCUCACCAAGCCUUCGAUCUGUAGCUGGUCUGAGAGGACGACCAGCCACACUGGGACUGAGACACGGCCAGACUCC
rnacentral:rRNA from 1 species